rnacentral:rRNA from 1 species
AAAACUUUCAACAACGGAUCUCUUGGCUCUCGCAUCGAUGAAGAACGCAGCGAAAUGCGAUAAGUAAUGUGAAUGCAGAAUUCAGUGAAUCAUCGAAUCUUUGAACGCACCUUGCGCUCCAUGGUAUUCCGUGGAGCAUGCCUGUUUGAGUGUCAUGAA